GAUGAACGCUGGCGGCGUGCCUAAUACAUGCAAGUCGAGCGAACGGACGAGAAGCUUGCUUCUCUGAUGUUAGCGGCGGGCGGGUGAGUAACACGUGGAUAACCUACCUAUAAGACUGGGAUAACUUCGGGAAACCGGAGCUAAUACCGGAUAAUAUUUUGAACCGCAUGGUUCAAAAGUGAAAGACGGUCUUGCUGUCACUUAUAGAUGGAUCCGCGCUGCAUUAGCUAGUUGGUAAGGUAACGGCUUACCAAGGCAACGAUGCAUAGCUGACCUGAGAGGGUGAUCGGCCACACUGGAACUGAGACACGGUCCAGACUCCUACGGGAGGCAGCAGUGGGGAAUCUUCCACAAUGGGCGAAAGCCUGACGGAGCCACGCCGCGUGAGUGAUGAAGGUCUUCGGAUCGUAAAACUCUGUUAUUAGGGAAGAACAGAUGUGAGAGUAAAUGUGCAUGUCUUGACGGUACCUACUCAGAAAGCCACGGCUAACUACGUG
rnacentral:rRNA from 1 species